rnacentral:rRNA from 1 species
UGCAAGUCGAACGGCAGCACAGGAUAGCUUGCUAUCCGGGUGGCGAGUGGCGGACGGGUGAGUAACGCGUAGGAAUCUACCUUUUCGUGGGGGAUAACCCGGGGAAACUCGGGCUAAUACCGCAUACGCCCUACGGGGGAAAGCGGGGGACCUUCGGGCCUCGCGCGGAAUGAUGAGCCUGCGUCCUAUCAGGUAGUUGGUGAGGUAAUGGCCCACCAAGCCGACGACGGGUAGCUGGUCUGAGAGGACGACCAGCCACACUGGGACUGAGACACGGCCCAGACUCCUACGGGAGGCAGCAGUGGGGAAUAUUGGACAAUGGGGGAAACCCUGAUCCAGCAAUACCGCGUGUGUGAAGAAGGCCUUCGGGUUGUAAAGCACUUUUAGCAGGAAAGAAAGGCCGUGCGCUAAUACCGCAUGGUUCUGACGUUACUUGCAGA